AUUGAACGCUGGCGGCAGGCCUAACACAUGCAAGUCGAGCGGAUGAAGGGAGCUUUCUCCUGUAUUCAGCGGCGGACGGGUGAGUAAUGCCUAGGAAUCUGCCUGGUAGUGGGGGAUAACGUCCGUAAACGGGCGCUAAUACCGCAUCCGUCCUGAGGGAGAAAGUGGGGGAUCUUCGGACCUCACGCUAUCAGAUGAGCCUAGGUCGGAUUAGCUAGUUGGUUGGGUAAAGGCCUACCAAGGCGACGAUCCGUAACUGGUCUGAGAGGAUGAUCAGUCACACUGGAACUGAGACACGGUCCAGACUCCUACGGGAGGCAGCAGUGGGGAAUAUUGGACAAUGGGCGAAAGCCUGAUCCAGCAAUGCCGCGUGUGUGAAGAAGGUCUUCGGAUUGUAAAGCACUUUAAGUUGGGAGGAAGGGCAGUAAGUGAAUACCUUGCUGUUUUGACGUUACCAACAGAAUAAGCACCGGCUAACUUCGUG
rnacentral:rRNA from 1 species